UAGCGCAGCCGCACGGGCACCCGCACAGCUCGUGCUGAAGCGGCAGGAUCAUGACAGUAUUGAUACAGUAGUGCCUACGCAAAGGCUGCGGUCAGGCCAGCCGCCUCAAGGAUUGUUCAUCGAGGGGUUAGCACCAGUGAGAUCUGCAUAAAUAACCUUUUCAAUUGUGACAUCUAUUUGUAUGUAAAGGUAUUUUUUGUCCAAAACUUUAGAAAAUGUAGCAAUACGGUAUGUAAUUAUUCGUAGGCUCAUUUUCAUGGUCCAAACAAGCAUUGCCUAUAAGAAAACCAGCACGUUAAGUCACUUCCGUGAUUAGCAGCCAAAAUGGAUUCAAUCUUUUGAUGGAACUUUUUUCCCUGCAAAGUCUCCAAUCAUUCAACAUCAAGCUCAUCACUAAAAGACUACCAAAUACAUUAUGAAGAAUGGACGGUGGGCGGCUUUUUAGCAGAUCUGCCUCACAGUUCUGAGGACCGGGGUUCAAAUCCCAGCCCUGCCUUUAUGGAGUUUGUAUGUUCUAUCCUGUACCCGUGUGGCUUUUAUCCAGUUACUCAGGUUUCUGCCUACAUCCCAAAAACAUGCGUGCGGGUGACCAGUUCAGGCUGUACCGCUUGUUCCCCAGAGAUGGCUGGGAUAGGCUCCACCAUGCCUGUGACCUAAGUGAGGGUGAAAAGUGCUUGACGGAGUGGUUUGGGGCAGAGAAGUCAGGGCCCUUCCCCUCUUAAGAUGCUGCCCCCACAACCUGACUCCUGAUGAUUGAAAGAAAAAGGAUGGAUGGAUGGAUGGAUAGAUGGUGUGACACCGAGACAGUUGCUUGAGCACAUAAAGUUGCAUAACUCUUCUUCACACACUCUCAAGAGACAGAAUGAGGUAGGGGCUCAGCAGGGGGUCCAUGAAUGCUCACCUGCCGCAACAUGCUUCGAAAAGUUGAUAACUCUGCAACGAGGUGUUGACAUUUUUGUUCCAGUCAAACUGUUUUUAUUUGGCACGUAAUAUACACCUGGGUAAUCCCUCAAUGUUUACUCGGCACAUUUUCAGCUGUAAUAGAAGCCUCUGCUGUUGCGCUUACUCAGCGAUACUCAUCUCACCCACAGGAUUCUUGGCCAACUUAGAUGGUUACUUGUGUUCACUGAAACUAAAGUGAGCGGGACCAGUUAUGUGCCGUCAUAGUCUUUAUUUCUCCCACUCACAUAGUCCCAGUGGUUACAAAACUUAGAUAUCUCAUCAAGUCACCUACCUGAAAUGUGCAACCUAAUACAGAUAAUUUCACAUUGUGGAAAACGAGACUGUAAGGUAUCAUCAAAUGUCGUCAUAAGUGGAUUGGUUCCCCAGUUACCUUGUAAGGCUUAAGCGUUCCUUACUUCACUGCAGCUACGUGUAUUCAAUUG